UUUUGUGGCUUUUCUCCACCUCUGCUCAAAGUUUGUGAGCACAUCAUAUGCAGCAGGUCCUUCAACCUUGCAAUGCAAGUCAUGCCAUGGCUGUCUAGGUCCCUUGGUUCCUGUCUAUUGAAAAGAUAAUAUUUAUAUCUCUUCCAGGAAAGCCAAAGAGAGCAGUUGGAAAGAACAUGAGAGUCAUGCCAUGGCUGUCUAGGUCCCCUGGUUCCUGCCUAUUGAAAAGAUAAUAUGUAUAUCCCUAGCAGGAAAGCCAAAGAGAGCACUCGGAAAUAGAUUUUCAGAGAACAAGUAUAGCAUCAUUUUACCCUCCCCAGACCCCACCUGGUGGGAGUAUACUGGGUAGUUGUUGUUAAAGAAAUAGAUUUUCAUUGCUUAAUAUGCUACAGUAUAUCUUUGCAGGAAUAUUUUCAACAUGGCAGGUCAAGGUUACUAAAAGAAUGUAUGCUCAGCUGUAU
rnacentral:lncRNA from 1 species